GACGAAGGUCCCGAGCGUUGUUCGGAAUCACUGGGCGUAAAGGGAGCGUAGGCUGCACGGUAAGUCAGAUGUGAAAGCCCGGGGCUCAACCCCGGAACUGCAUCCGAUACCGCCGUGCUUGAGGACUGGAGAGGAGUCUGGAAUUCACAGUGGAGCAGUGAAAUGCGUAGAUAUUGUGAGGAACACUAGUAGCGAAGGCGAGACUCUGGACAGAUCCUGACGCUGAGGCUCGAAGGCCAGGGGAGCAAACGGG
rnacentral:rRNA from 1 species